rnacentral:ncRNA from 1 species
AAAAAUCUAUAUGAAAAAAUUAUAUAUAUAAAUAAAUUUUUAUGAUUUAUGUAAUUUAAUUUAAAUUUGUUUUACAUGUAAAUUUUAGUAUUAAUUUUUAAUUAUUUUAAUAAUAAUUAUUAAUAUUUGCAGUAAUUAAAAUUAAAAAUUUAAGAAAUUAAGAUUUAGUAAUAUUUAAUUUAUUAACAAAUUUUGUGCCAGCAGUUGCGGUUAUACAAAAAAUAAUUUAAAUUUUAUCAGUAUAUAAUUAAUAAAAAUUAUUAUUUAAAUUAAAUAUUAAAUUAUUAGGUGAAAUUUUAAUUUAAUUAAAAUUUAUAUUAAUUUUAUGAUUUAUUAAAUUUUAUAAAAAAACUAGGAUUAGAUACCCUAUUAUUAAAAAUUAAAUUUAUAAUACUAAAAUAGUAGGUAAUAAUUUAUUGAAACUUAAAUAAUUUGGCGGUAUUUUAGUUUAUUUAGAGGAAUCUGUUUAAUAAUUGAUAAUCCACGAAUAAAUUUACUUAAUUUAUUAUUUUGUAUAUCGUUGUUAAAAAAAUAUUUUUUAAUAAAAAUAAUAUUUUAAAAUUUUUAUAUAAAAUUAAUUCAGAUCAAGAUGCAGAUUAUAAUUAAGAAUAUAAUGGAUUACAGUAAAUAAAUUUAAAUGGAUAAUAUUUUUUAAUAAAUAUUUAAAGGUGGAUUUAAAUGUAAUUUUAAUUAGUUUAUUAAAAUGAUUAUAUAUUAAAAUAUGUACAUAUUGCCCGUCGCUUUCAUUAAUAAAUUGGAAUAAGUCGUAACAAAGUAGAGGUACUGGAAAGUGUUUCUAGAAAGAA